rnacentral:rRNA from 1 species
UACGAAGGGUGCAAGCGUUAAUCGGAAUUACUGGGCGUAAAGCGUGCGUAGGCGGUUUGUUAAGUCUGUUGUGAAAUCCCCGGGCUCAACCUGGGAAUGGCAAUGGAUACUGGCAAGCUAGAGUGUGUCAGAGGAUGGUGGGAUUCCCGGUGUAGCGGUGAAAUGCGUAGAGAUCGGGAGGAACAUCAGUGGCGAAGGCGGCCAUCUGGGACAACACUGACGCUGAGGCACGAAAGCGUGGGGAGCAAACAGG